GAUGAAGAACGCAGCAAAAUGCGAUAAGUAAUGUGAAUUGCAGAAUUCAGUGAAUCAUCGAAUCUUUGAACGCACAUUGCGCCCGCCAGUAUUCUGGCGGGCAUGCCUGUUCGAGCGUCAUUUCAACCCUCAAGCCCUCGGGUUUGGUGUUGGGGAUCGGCGAGCCUUUCUGGCAAGCCGGCCCCGAAAUCUAGUGGCGGUCUCGCUGCAGCCUCCAUUGCGUAGUAGUAAAACCCUCGCAACUGGCACGCGGCGCGGCCAAGCCGUUAAACCCCCAACUUCUGAAUGUUGACCUCGGAUCAGGUAGGAAUACCCGCUGAACUUAAGCAUAUCAAUAAGCGGGGA
rnacentral:misc_RNA from 1 species